rnacentral:rRNA from 1 species
UACGGAGGGGGCUAGCGUUGUUCGGAAUUACUGGGCGUAAAGCGCGCGUAGGCGGACCUGUAAGUCAGGGGUGAAAUCCUGGAGCUCAACUCCAGAACUGCCUUUGAUACUGAAGAUCUUGAGUCCGGGAGAGGUGAGUGGAACUGCGAGUGUAGAGGUGAAAUUCGUAGAUAUUCGCAAGAACACCAGUGGCGAAGGCGGCUCACUGGCCCGGUACUGACGCUGAGGCACGAAAGCGUGGGGAGCAAACAGG